rnacentral:rRNA from 1 species
CAGUCGCCGCGGUAAUACGAAGGGGGCUAGCGUUGCUCGGAAUGACUGGCGUAAAGGGCGCGUAGGCGGCGAUCAAAGUCAGGCGUGAAAUUCCUGGGCUCAACCUGGGGGCUGCGCUUGAUACUUGGUUGCUUGAGUGGGGAAGAGGGUCGUGGAAUUCCCAGUGUAGAGGUGAAAUUCGUAGAUAUUGGGAAGGACACCAGUGGCGGAGGCGGCUCACUGGACCGACACUGACGCUGAGGCGCGAAAGCGUGGGGAGCAAACAGGAUUAGAUACCCCUGUAGUCCCUGUCUCUUAUACA